AAACCGGCGUCCCGUCCAAACUUUACAGUAGCCAAUGAGAGCUUUGGGAACCAUAGGAACAGCACGAAGGCGGGCUCAGGGGCGGGACCACGCUGAUGAGAGCCAAUAGGACGGCACAAAUGCGCCAUAUCGUUGAGAGAACCAAUCUGUUUACCAUAAUUGACAGCAGCGGGGGAGGACAUGGCGAUAGCGCAUCAAUUCCAAUUUGUUAUACUUACAGCAACAGAGCCCCGCUUUCACCGCCACUCCAGCCAAUCGCAAGGCGGCAAGAGCCCUCGCCCUGCCUACUCCACUCAUAGUGAACCAGGCCGGAGCCCGGCGACGUCACUGCAGCGGCAGGCGAUUGGCUUGCUGCGCGACGUUCUCCUGGCCAAUGGCUGCGCGGGGUGGUGACGUCACUGAGCGUGUUGCCACCAGCUGGUUAGAGGGGGCGUGGUCUAGCGUAAACUCGGCUAACCUCUUGUUUGUAAAUUGUAUGAAGAUGAUUGACACAUUUGGACACGACGCCUCUUUAUUGAUGAAUAUUAAUUUUGGUUUAUUAACAGAGGAAAGCCAAGACCACGAAUUACCGAAUGACGAGGUCACAGGAGAGCCGGAGCCUAUCCCAGCUUGUUCUGGGUGAGGGGCGGGCUACACCCUGAACUGGUUGCCAGUCAGUCGCAGGGCAGACAUCAACACCAUCACUGAGAGGGAAUCGAUCAUAGGCUACAUGCACCAAAGUCAGGCGUGUGUACCACUACACCAUUAGUGACUCUUUCUAUAACAAAGAUUAGAAAUGUGUACAGUAGCCAAUGAUGUGUGUUACAAAAACAUAUACAGUAUUUUGUAUAGCAACCCAACAGCAUGCUAUAACAUGGACAUCAGAGGAAACUUCAUGUAGUAAAUCUCAUAGAUGCACUUCUGAAUAUUAUUACGUCUGGAUUUUAGGAUUAUGUUUUUGAUUAAAUCAAGAAAAAGAGAAUGGGAAUGUCCAAGGUUUGCAAAUCAAAGAUAAAACCCAAGUAUGACAUCAAACUUCAUCCAUCACUACGAAAAGUUAGGAUGCUUUAUGUUGGUUAUGAGUAUAUUUGGGAAGACCAAGAAAUACACAA